rnacentral:ncRNA from 1 species
UACUCAAAUUUGAGACUUAACGAGUCUAUGAGAGUUUUAGUUCAAUUAAUAUAUAUAUUUCAUGUGUUAUUAUUAAUAAUUAAUUUUAAAUCAUAUAUUUCAUUAUUUAUUAUAUGUAAUUUUUAAACAAAAAUUUAUUAUAUAAAUACAUUAUUUUCAUGCAUAUAACGUGAUAUCCCUUGCCUACAUUGUUCCAUUGACCAGAGGCUGUUCACCUUGGAGACCUGAUGCGGUUAUGAGUACGACCGGGUGCAGACGGCACUCGGUCCUCCAGAUUUUUAAGGGCCGCUUGGGGCGCACCGGACACCACGCGACGUGCGGUGCUCUUCCAGCCGCUGGACCCUACCUCCGGCUGAGCCGUUUCCAGUGUGGGCAGGCCGUUAAAUAGAAAAGAUAACUCUUCCCGAGGCCUUAAUUGGCCGGGUCGUUCCUCCGGUGCUGUUACUUUGAAGAAAUUAGAGUGCUCAAAGUAGGCCUACGCUUGUAUACAUUAGCAUGGGAUAACAUCAUAGGAUUUCAAUCCUAUUGUGUUGGCCUUCGGGAUCAGAGCAAUGAUUAAGAGGGACAAUCGGGGGCAUUCGUAUUUCAUAGUCAAAGGUGAAAUUCUUGGAUUUAUGAAAGAUGAACAACUACGAAAGCAUUUGCCAAGAAUGUUUUCAUUAAUCAAGAACGAAAGUUGGGGACUCGAAGACGAUCAGAUACUGUCCUAAUCUCAACCAUAAACGAUGCCGACCAGGGAUCGGCGGAUGUUGCUUUUAGGACUUUACCGACACCUUAUGAGAAAUCAAAGUCUUUGGGUUCCGGGGGGAGUAUGGUCGCAAGGCUAAAACUUAAAGGAAUUAACGGAAGGGCACCACCAGGAGUGGAGCCUGCGGCUUAAUUUGACUCAACACAGGGAAACUUACCAGGUCCAGACAUAGCAAGGAUUGACAGACUGAGAGCUCUUUCUUGAUUCUAUGGGUGGUGGUGCACGGCCGUUCUUAGUUGGUGGAGCAAUUUAUCUGGUUAAUUCUGUUAACGAACGAGACCUCAGCCUGCUAACUAGCUACACGGAGGUGAUCCUCCAUGGCUAGCUCCUUAGAGGGACUAUGGCCUUUUAGGCCACGAAAGUUUGAGGCAAUAACAGGUCUGUGAUGCCCUUAGAUGUUCUGGGCUGCACGCGCGCUACACUGAUGUAUUCAAUGAGUCUAUAGCCUUGGCCGACAUGCCCGGGCAAUCUUUGAAAUUUCAUCGUGAUGGGGAUAGAUCAUUGCAAUUGUUGGUCUUCAAUGAGGAAUUCCUAGUAAGCGUGAGUAAUCAGCUCGUGUUGACUACAUCCCUGCCUUUUGUACACACCGCUCAUUGCUCCUUCCAAUUGAAUGGUCCGGUGAAGUGUUCGGAUCACGGUGACGUGGGCUGUUCGCUACCUGCGACAUCUCUAGAAAUCCACUGAACCUUAUCAUUUAGAUAAAGGAGAAGUCAUAACAAGGUUUUUGUAGGUGAACCUGUGGAAGGAUCAUUG